CCUACGGGAGGCAGCAGUGGGGAAUAUUGCACAAUGGGGGAAACCCUGAUGCAGCGACGCCGCGUGAGUGAAGAAGUAUUUCGGUACGUAAAGCUCUAUCAGCAGGGAAGAAAAUGACGGUACCUGACUAAGAAGCCCCGGCUAACUACGUGCCAGCAGCCGCGGUAAUACGUAGGGGGCAAGCGUUAUCCGGAUUUACUGGGUGUAAAGGGAGCGUAGACGGCAGCGCAAGUCUGGAGUGAAAUCCCAUGGCUUAACCAUGGAACUGCUUUGGAAACUGGGCAGCUAGAGUGCAGGAGAGGUAAGCGGAAUUCCUAGUGUAGCGGUGAAAUGCGUAGAUAUUAGGAGGAACACCAGUGGCGAAGGCGGCUUACUGGACUGUAACUGACGUUGAGGCUCGAAAGCGUGGGGAGCAAACAGGAUUAGAUACCCCUGUAUC
rnacentral:rRNA from 1 species